UCCCCUAGUAAACUGCGAGUGAAGCGGGAAAAGCUCAAAUUUAAAAUCUGGCGGUCUUUGGCCGUCCGAGUUGUAGUCUGGAGAAGUGCUUUCCGUGCUGGACCGUGUAUAAGUCUCUUGGAACAGAGCGUCAUAGAGGGUGAGAAUCCCGUCUUUGACACGGACUACCAGUGCUUUGUGAUGCGCUCUCAAAGAGUCGAGUUGUUUGGGAAUGCAGCUCAAAAUGGGUGGUGAAUUCCAUCUAAAGCUAAAUAUUGGCGAGAGACCGAUAGCGAACAAGUACCGUGAGGGAAAGAUGAAAAGCACUUUGGAAAGAGAGUUAAACAGUACGUGAAAUUGCUGAAAGGGAAACGCUUGAAGUCAGUCGCGUUGUCCGGAACUCAGCCUUGCUUUCGCUUGGUGCACUUUCCGGAUGACGGGUCAGCAUCGAUUUUGACCGUCGGAAAAGGGCUGGAGUAAUGUGGCACCUCCGGGUGUGUUAUAGACUCUGGUCGCAUACGGCGGUUGGGAUCGAGGAACGCAGCGCGCCGCAAGGCAGGGGUUCGCCCACUUUCGCGCUUAGGAUGCUGGCAUAAUGGCUUUAAACGACCCGUCUUGAAACACGGACCAAGGAGUCUAACAUACCUGCGAGUGUUUGGGUGGAAAACCCGAGCGCGUAAUGAAAGUGAAAGUUGAGAUCCCUGUCGUGGGGAGCAUCGACGCCCGGACCUGACGUUCUCUGACGGAUCCGCGGUAGAGCAUGUAUGUUGGGACCCGAAAGAUGGUGAACUAUGCCUGAAUAGGGUGAAGCCAGAGGAAACUCUGGUGGAGGCUCGUAGCGAUUCUGACGUGCAAAUCGAUCGUCAAAUUU
rnacentral:rRNA from 1 species